rnacentral:rRNA from 1 species
AUGAUGUGUAAGGGGACAGAGCACAUGGUCAAAUUCAAGGUCCUGGUCCUGGAGCACACUCAUCUGUGGCCUGUCCAUUCAUAUAAUAAAUUGAUGAUUGAUGGCAAUGAACAUUCCCAUGUCUACCCCAGAUGGACAGAUGCUCAAUUGGAUUGGAUUACCUUGACCAUGUGCUCUGCUAGUGCUACAACUCAUCAAAGAGAGUGGGUCACAUCUUUCCAGCCACCAAUCCAAGCCAUAUUAAGAGAUUCACACCCAGUCGUCGCCUCUACAUGCUCCAAUCAACACAAUUUCAUAUGA